rnacentral:rRNA from 1 species
GAUGAACGCUGGCGGCGUGACUAAUACAUGCAAGUCGAGCGAACGGACGAGAAGCUUGCUUCUCUGAUGUUAGCGGCGGACGGGUGAGUAACACGUGGAUAACCCACCUAUAAGACUGGGAUAACUUCGGGAAACCGGAGCUAAUACCGGAUAAUAUUUUGAACCGCAUGGUUCAAAAGUGAAAGACGGUCUUGCUGUCACUUAUAGAUGGAUCCGCGCUGCAUUAGCUAGUUGGUAAGGUAACGGCUUACCAAGGCAACGAUGCAUAGCCGACCUGAGAGGGUGAUCGGCCACACUGGAACUGAGACACGGUCCAGACUCCUACGGGAGGCAGCAGUAGGGAAUCUUCCGCAAUGGGCGAAAGCCUGACGGAGCAACGCCGCGUGAGUGAUGAAGGUCUUCGGAUCGUAAAACUCUGUUAUUAGGGAAGAACAUAUGUGUAAGUAACUGUGCACAUCUUGACGGUACCUAAUCAGAAAGCCACGGCUAACUACGUGCCAGCAGCCGCGGUAAUACGUAGGUGGCAAGCGUUAUCCGGAAUUAUUGGGCGUAAAGCGCGCGUAGGCGGUUUUUUAAGUCUGAUGUGAAAGCCCACGGCUCAACCGUGGAGGGUCAUUGGAAACUGGAAAACUUGAGUGCAGAAGAGGAAAGUGGAAUUCCAUGUGUAGCGGUGAAAUGCGCAGAGAUAUGGAGGAACACCAGUGGCGAAGGCGACUUUCUGGUCUGUAACUGACGCUGAUGUGCGAAAGCGUGGGGAUCAAACAGGAUUAGAUACCCUGGUAGUCCACGCCGUAAACGAUGAGUGCUAAGUGUUAGGGGGUUUCCGCCCCUUAGUGCUGCAGCUAACGCAUUAAGCACUCCGCCUGGGGAGUACGACCGCAAGGUUGAAACUCAAAGGAAUUGACGGGGACCCGCACAAGCGGUGGAGCAUGUGGUUUAAUUCGAAGCAACGCGAAGAACCUUACCAAAUCUUGACAUCCUUUGACAACUCUAGAGAUAGAGCCUUCCCCUUCGGGGGACAAAGUGGCAGGUGGUGCAUGGUUGUCGUCAGCUCGUGUCGUGAGAUGUUGGGUUAAGUCCCGCAACGAGCGCAACCCUUAAGCUUAGUUGCCAUCAUUAAGUUGGGCACUCUAAGUUGACUGCCGGUGACAAACCGGAGGAAGGUGGGGAUGACGUCAAAUCAUCAUGCCCCUUAUGAUUUGGGCUACACACGUGCUACAAUGGACAAUACAAAGGGCAGCGAAACCGCGAGGUCAAGCAAAUCCCAUAAAGUUGUUCUCAGUUCGGAUUGUAGUCUGCAACUCGACUACAUGAAGCUGGAAUCGCUAGUAAUCGUAGAUCAGCAUGCUACGGUGAAUACGUUCCCGGGUCU